ACAGUUCAUUAUUUUUCAGCUUUAAUAUUUGGAAUUCUGAGAUUCUGCAUCAGUUAGUUUUUAUCUGAAAACCGUAUAGUUUUGUUUGGAAUUUGAAGUUGGUUUCUUCAUAAGAAUUGUAAUAGACAUCUUAAGGUUCGUUCCAGAAUUUUGAAUCACUUGAAAACGAUUUAUGUAAAUUAAAUUAUGAUUUUUCAAAGUUUAAGGUUUGCAUCAAGAAAUUCUGCAGAUCAGUGUUUCUAAGAUUUUGGACCGGUUACCUUCUUUCGAAAAACUGUACAAAUUGAUUAGUUGUUUUCACUUGGUGUCUUUAUCAAAGUUACAGUAGAUAUCUUAAAGAUCAACUGAGAGUUAGAAUCUCAUGAAAAUAAGUUUUCUAGAAUUAGUUAUGAAUUUUCAAAGUUAUAGCACUGCUGCAUAUUUUUCUGAAACAUCAAACUAUCCUUGGUUUGUAUUCCUAUCGUAUUUUAUAUUUAUUUUUCCCAGUCACACCUUUGACUCAAGAAAAAAAAAUAUAUACAUUCAGGUCAGGGUUUGACAGUUUUCGAUCUGGAUGGGUAGCGUACGGGGUCUUACAAAGGCUUCAUGGGCCAGGGCUUUGUAAUCCGCUAGGUAAUGGGCUUUCGCCUCAUGAUCAAAGGGCUUGUACCUGGGUUUGGGCUUUUUCUUGGGUCUGGGUGUGCAGCCCACAUGAGGUACCUAUCUUAUAUUUCAUAAUUCAUUUCUUUUACUUGUUAUUUUGGGCUUCAGUUUUUUAGCCCAUGUCACCCUUGUGGUGUAUUUUUAUCCCUAUGUGGAUUAUUCUGGCUUGGUCCAACAUGGGAGGACUCGGUUCCUCAUACCGGUGUCAAUCGGUCCUAAUUCUUUCCAGAUAUUUGGUCACCCAACUCCAAAACAACCCAUCAACUACCAUUGUGUACCUUCAUGUGAACUUGUGUGGCUGCACGCUUAAAGUGUAAUUUCACACUUACCUAUUAGAUUAUGGGUGCUCACGCGUGGGUUCAUCAGCCCUUAUUUUCGUUGGUUACGGUUCUUGGAUAUGUUUAUCAGUCCUCUCUCGUCAGCCUCUUCACUUCCAUGACUGGGGUCUCAAUUGUAGAUUGUAUAGUGUUGUUAUGAGGGAGCUAUUCCUAUGUGUAGUGGUUUUCUAUAUUAUUUGUGUAUUGGGAUUUGAUAGGCAUCAGUUACUCGGGCAUCAACGCUCUGAUUCAGCACUCCUCAUUAUCUCACGGUUGCUAGUGGUGAUGGCAACAACAAUGCUAGCAUGCUUGGGUGGUGGGUGUGGUAGAUUAGCUAGUUGGUAUUGUUGCAUUUUCUUAUUUUCUUGUAGGAAAUUCGGUCCAUAGAUUAGCGAGCUAUUGGUCACCUCUCACUCUUUCUACCUUGAUCGAGUUGGAGACUCAUGUUCUUUAUUUUUAGUAGUUUUUCGGUUCGCGUUUGCGAGUGUUGUAAUUAGAUUUGUUCAGUGAUUAAUAAAUUAUUCAUUUCUCUCCAAAAAAGAACAACUACUUUGAAGUCAUCAGAAAACACAAUUGUUUUUGAGAUGAUGGACUUUUCUUUUAAAUGUUUCCUUUCAAAGUUUUCAAACCAUGGGAACUUUUCCUUCAUUUGAAUCUUCUUUGUCUGAUUGUCCUAAAUUUGCAAUCUAAAUUAUUAGCCCUUGAGACACUGUGCAUGCCUACAUUCAAAGUUUUCAAACCAUGGAACUUUUCCUUCAUUUGAAUCUUCUCUGUCUGAUUGUCCUAAUUUGCAAUCUAGAUUAUUAGCCCUUGAGACACUGUCCAUGCAAAUAUGCUUGAUGCUAGUCAUGCUACUAAACAGAAAGGUACAUACAUAUGUCCAAAUAUUGUCAAGAGCGAGAUACAUCGAUCUCUUGGUUCAGGAGUGACACUAAUUAUUCCGCAUUACUAUGACCUAAAGACUACAAUAUUUAUAGAGAUCUGAAGACUACGUAGUAUCAGAAGAACUAGUCCAUGGUGCAUCUGAUGAACAUGAGGCUGUGACUUCCACUUGGGGAGCUCCCUUGUGCAUUGUGAUCAAUCUGGUCUCUCAAGGCUCUUAACUUCAAUUUUUUCAUCACAGAUACUUGGAUCCAGAUCGAACAACUUCAUCCACAGCGAUCCGCCCUUCAAGCAUGCUCACUACUGCAGACAUGACAGGCCUAAGUGCAGCUAUUGGAUUAUUGGCGCACAGUAGAGCUACUUUGAUGGUUCUAAUCGCCUCAUAUCUUCAAUUUAACCUGUGCAUGUUUGCAUAUUUGAUCAAAAGUGAAAGGACCCCUUCAGAGCUAAGGGACCCUUUUAGUACUAUUCCAAAUUCAAAUUCAUACAUUAUUAUUGAUCUGCUCCUCUCUCUAGACAUAGAAAUCAAAGAAGACUUGGAGACUAGUGUCAACCAGGCAUUCUAAAUCCAGAGGAAAAUGAAGAGGAGCUUCAAUUAGUACUAGAUCAAUUAAUAGACGACCAUCCAGCGUGGUUAAGGGAUAGAUGGCUAGUUCAAUUAAGGUGAAGCUUCGUCAGUACAGAGUUCUCGAGUCAUCAAGUAAUUAAUGAGGAGAUAGAUCAAUCAUGCACUACAAACAUUUUCUUCACUAUUGCUAAGUAUAUUUUGUUGUUGAGUCAAAACAUCAGGGCUGUCGAUUGAUCGACAACCCCUGUCUAACGAAUAACAAUGUUAACUUGGGGGUUCAAAUAGAACCAUCAAUCUGUAUACAUGGAACUGAAUCGAAGGAGAGAAAGGUGAAUCUAAUCCCUAAAAGAAUAAGCAAAUGAUAGAACCAAAGGGGAACAUAUUUACAGAAGUUAGUAUGGGAAUGAAACUUGCCAAGGUAGGAGUAUAAAGGGAAGCAAAAACUGUAACUCAGAUCCUAUAAGCAUAAAUUUGAACUUUAGAACAUAAGCUCUUGGACUACUCUAAAUAUCUAAUUAAUCUAUGAAAAUUCUUUUAUGCACGACGUGUAAAUAUAUAAACUGUGCAAUCUUAACCAUUCAUAAAGUUGGUACUUUUCAAAAGAAACAGAGAACAUGAAGUUGACUGUUUACAACAAUGGAGGCAUGGUCGGCCUUGGCUCCCUCUGUAAAAGGUCCAGUAUUCUGGUCAACUAUGGAGACAUACAACUUUGUCCGCGGAAACAACACAGAGUCCUACACGAUGUGCUACGUUGGAGAAGAAAUGUUCUAAUACGAAAACACGAUAGUGUGACAUGGUCGUUUGUUAAUCUUCAAUUUUAACUUGAAUAAACUUUAUAGAGAUCUGACGACGUAGUAGUAUCAGAAGAACCAGUCCAUUGUGCAUCUGAUGAACACACAAGGUUGUGACUUCCACUUGGUGAGCUUCCUUGUGCAUUCUGCUCAGACAGGCUUUCGAAGGCUCUUAACCUCGUCAUUUCAUCACCAUGGAUACUUGGAUCCAAAGCCACCUUAUCCAUUGGGGUUCGCCCUUCAAGCAUACUCACUACUGCAGACAUGAUUCGCCUGAGUGCAGCUGUUGGAUUGGCGCACAGUAGAGCUACUUUGAUAAUUCUAAGCGCCUCUUUCUUAUUGAAAUCGGAUCCCAACCUCGGAUCCACCAGCUCCAGUAAGUUCCCUUUUUGAUGCAAAACAUGGGCCUAAAGAUAAGCGGAGAAAAUGAGUGGAUGAUCACAAACUAGUUACAUGUAUAUGUAGUGAAAGAGUUUUUGAAUCAAGAUUAUUUAUCUUACCCAAUCCAUAAGACAUUGAAUGUUCUCAUUGGAUCCAUAUUUCAUGUUGUUCGAUCUUUCCUGAAAUAGUUUCUAGUGCAACAACUCCAAAACUGUAGAUAUCUGCCUUAUAGGUCAAACAACCCCAUAACGCAUAUUCUGGUGCCAUGUAUCCUCUGCACGACAAUGAAAUUUUGUUUUCACUGACGAUAGUCACUCUAAUACAAAGAUUUUGCCCAUAAAAUUAUAAAUCCAAAAUGGGAUCAUUCCCCAAAUAGAAAUGAAAUUAAGGUAUCAACACUAUAUCAGACAUCAUUACAUGUAAAUUACAUAUUUUGUUGUCAUUGCAGCAUGCAUUUCUGCAGUCAAUAGCAGUUACCAACUUACUGUAACUAACUGAAAAUUUCAAAUAUUUUACUCAGAAAAAGAUUAUAAGUUAUCAUGUUUGUGUCGGAAUUAUCAAGAUUUUAAAGACAGAGAAAACUGAGUGGAAAAUGGCUUAAGCAAAAUUAGCCUCAGCAAUGAAGUUGAUAUAUAUAUAUGACAGAAGCUUACAUAGUUCCAGCAACCCUCGUGCUAAUGUGAGUGUUCUCCUCUUCGUCAAGCUUGGCCAAACCAAAGUCCGAGAUCUUAGCAUUGAGGUCUUGGUCCAGUAACACAUUAGUAGUUUUGAUGUCUCUAUGUACAACCUUCACCGCCGAUUCCUCGUGCAGAUAAGCCAGACCAUUUGCUAUGCCUACGCAUAUUUUCUGCCUUGUAGGCCAGUCCAAGUUUAGGAGAUCAUCCUCUGGACCUGCAAUUGCAUACCUUAUUAUUAGAUCACUUCAGAAUCUUUGAAUGCAUGACUUCAGGAUUAAUUUGUUCCUAAAUUAGAUAAGCUUACCGUACAAAGCGCGAGCAAGGCUAUUGUUUUCCAUGUACUCAUAUACCAACAAUAACUGGUUUGCUUCAAUACAACAUCCAUACAUUCUAACCAGAUUUGGAUGCUGCAAGCAAGAGAUCAUCCCGAUUUCGUUCACAAAUUCACGAUUUCCCUGCUUUGAUUUUGAGGAUAGUUGCUUAACUGCAAUUAUAGUACCAUCCAAUAGUACACCCUGCAUUAAGCAUAGUGAACUAGUUUUCAUUCCUGAUAAAAUUAGGCCAUAUUAUUUAGACAUGAAAAAGACUUAAAAGUAGAAGGAAAAAGAUAACAGGAUAGCUGUUGUAUUAUACCUUGUAGACGGACCCAAAACCACUUCUCCAAUUUUGUUUAUAGGAUCAAAGUUAUUGGUGGCAGUUUUCAUUUGCCUCAAGGUGAAAAUACCAGCUGUCUGUAGAUCCUCUCAGAACUGUCAAAAAACCCAAGUUAGUUAGGAUAAUCAGUAAUGUCUGUGAAAAUUGAUAAAAUUUCUUCGACAUAGUAUCUGAGUGUGUGUUUCCUAGUUCACAUGGAACUUGAAAGAAUAAGGCCAACGUGACAUAUGAAAUUGGCAUAUAUAGUAGAUUUGCAGCACCUUCUUCCCUUGAUGUCUGACUAUCCCCCAGACAGCCUUUCCACCACAGAAUGCCAAAAGUUAAGAACAAAAGGCACAAAACUGAAGCUCCAACCACCAUAUACAUCUCUCCUUUGCUAUCAUGAGUUUUAGGAGGCUUGAACUCUACAGAAAGAAAGAAAAAAAAUAUCUUAAAAGCUGGAAACAGAUGCAGUAACUAAAAUUAAGAAUAAGUUGCACAUAGUACUCUUGUUCUAUGAUAAUCUGGAUACUUAAAUUAUACCAUCUUCGUCUAUAUUUUCCAAUCUAUUGCAAUGAAAAUAUAAAUUUUUCCCUUGGUUCCUUUUCUGUUCUGAAUGAGUACAAAACAAAUGGAUUGUAAAAUGUAAAGCGUCGAAUAAUGUUCUUAAAAACAGAUUUGAAAAGUUUGCAUGCAAUUCAGAAUAUUACCAGGCUCUAUAGAAAUGGCUGAUAUAAGGGGACCAUAGAUUCCUCGUCUAGGGGAUGCUGUUGUGCCUUUUCCAGACCAAUGAAACCGAAUCUCUAGAGAUUUGUUUGUAACUUGAACUGCUUUUGUGUCCACUAUGACUACCUUAUCAACCCCUUGUGCUGCUUUUACAAUGUCAAAAUCCUUCAAUACAAGUUUCUCCUGUAACAAAUGUUAUCAAUGAGAAACAUUGUGUCAGCAUUAAGACUCCAUCAACUGUAUGAUUCAGUACCUGAAUAUAUACAUCAAAUAUCCGUCUUCCAACACUUUGAUAAGAUUUAUUGCCUCGGAUUAUUAUCUCCGCAAAGUGAAGGCUCACAGUAUAGUUUCCUUCUGCUAAGCAGUUUGCAUAAUAUGUGAGAGAGAGAGGACUGAGGCGAGCAUGAGUGUACAACUCAGAGUUUAUCAUUCCAAGUAUUGAUACAUUAUUUGCUAUGUAGUCAUAAGAGGUGAUGUUAGUAUCCCAGAAAAAUCCCGUGCUACUGGUUCCCCAGUUAGGUCUCACCUGGAUAAAUUUUGCUCCACCUCCAAGAUCUGUAUCAUCUUCAAAUUUAACUCCACCAAUCGUGGUCGCCUCUCCACCACAAUUUAUAUGCAAUGAGUACUGAACUGUUGAGUAACAGUAGAUAAAUGAAAACUCAUAGUAGAGAAAAAAAUUGAGUGGAUAAAUGAUAUCGAUUAGUAUCAGAAACCAUUUACUCUAGGUCAUCUGGAAGUUAACUACUGAAUUUGUACAAAGUAUUUACAAAAUUAAAUAAUUAUAAAGCUAACCAUCAUUUGGUUCCAAUCUAUUCAAUCAGAUUUGAUUCUCAGAGAUGUAUUGUUACCUUCUGUACAUGGAUUUUUCUCCAGGCAAGCUCCAGAUAAUCUAGAUUCGUGAUGCAUAAUAAUCAGCUUAUGUAUAAGUCCAUGAAGUGAAUAUAAAAGGAUAAAAAAUUGCUUCAUCUUUGAAGACUAAUAAGUAUGAAGCUUACGAGUUGUUUCGUGCAGAAGAGCUUCUGAAAACGUUCCUGAUACAUGUCAAAUCAGUUGAAACAGAAAAAUUAGAGGUGGAUGAAGACUAUAUAUAGUGUGUGCUUAGUAUGCCAACCCCACAGAAAACAGUUCUUACAGGUAUUCGCUGCAUGUAGGUGGCUCAGAGUCCUUGGAAAAAUUAUUGUAAGAAACAUCUAUCUGGCUGCACACAAAUAUGAUAAAAUUCUAAGCGAGUAUAAAUCCACUGAAAAGUCCGUGUUAGAAUAUUGAUAAAUGUUCAUUUACAUGAUUAAGAAGAUUAGUUAAUGACAGUAAAUCAUAGUGAUUUAAAUGCUUCAAACAGUUCAUUUGGAAAGAAAAAAAACAUACACUAAAAUAUUCUGUCAAACUUUUUAGAAGAAAGUUAAAAAAAUUGUUAAUAAUAAUAGAAUUGUCUACUAGAUACUUCAAAAAAAUGUAAAAAACAACUAAAAAACAAAACAAAUUAAUUUAGGAUAGAAGACAUACUAGCGGUUAUCUUUGCUCUUGAUCCAUUGUGGAAUAGAACCAGUGAGCAAGUUGCUAGUCAGAUACCUAUUCCAAAACAAAUAACAGUCACAUUUUGUUGAACUACAAAUUAAAGGUUGGUUACAUGGGAUAAAUCUAUGCUUAUGUAGAUGUGAAGAUAGUGCGUGCAGAGGAGGCCCCCAGCAUUAUGAGGUAAGCUGGCAUGACAUAUAUGAAAUUCACAUUUCUUACAAGUACUACAAAUUGUCUGGAUCCAGAACCAUAGCUUCAACAUCAGGAAAGCUUCCUUCCAAUCUGUUGAAGCUGAGAUCUCUGUAAGAUAAUGGAUGUUAUAAGAACCGAAAGCAUACUGUAUUGAACCUUAACUGAGAAGAUGAACUGUUUAUCAAAUUGAUAUCGAGAAUGCAUACUGAAUGUGUCUUAUGUACUUGAAUGAGUAGUAGAAUAUAAAGAUUAAGAAGAGGAGUAAAUUACAAUAUAUUCAAUACUUGCAUUGCUUUUAAAUCAGGAAUAGGUCCAGAUAAAUUACAGCUCCUUAGCAUUCUGCAGUAUAACUCAAUAUUAGCAUAGUUGCAGAUAAACAUGGACUAGUCUAAAACUACAGACGGAAAUACAACAUGUUUUAGACUCACAAUCUUCUCAUGAUUUUCAUAUUAGUUAGGUUUGGAAAUACUGAACCCCCUCCGUUUAAGUCGCUGAUCCUUCUGCAUCAAUUGCAUCAUAAAUAACUGUUAGGCGAAACUAAUCCCUUUGAUACGUAGCUAUAGUGUCAAAUAUGAUGUAGAAUAUGGUUUUCAGUGUAACUAUACUGUUACUGCAACGAAGAGCUGGGUGUGGAACUCACAAUUCUGUUAAAUUACUCAAGACAGAAAUGCUAGACGGAAUGGGGCCUUGUAGAACACUAGCUUGGAUCUCUCUGUGAAGAAUUCAACAUGGAUAGAGAUUACACCAAUUCUAUAAUUUCUGAAUGAUAUUAUAAUAUCAAAAAAGCACCUACAAUUUCUUAAGUUGACUCCAACUCGGAAGAAGUCGGGAAGUUGUGAAGUUGUUACUGCUAAUCCUCCUGUAUAAGAUGAUAUUUCAUUAAAUGACAGCUGAACAUGUCUUAAGAAAAAUUGCAAGUCAUAAUGUGAGUGUCACUUACAAUUCUAUUAAUUUGGUCAGAUUUGUGAGAUCCACUGAUAAGACUCCUGUGAGAUUGUUUGCACUAAUGAUGCUGCAGAUCGAUACCAGUGCCAACUUAUCAGUUACUCACUUUGACAAGCUAUUCGAUAUUUUUCAAAUCAAUAAUUAAACGUAAAAAAAUAAAAAAAUAAAUAAAAAACUGAUGAUGGAUGAAAAGGAGGAGCUUACAGAAUCUGCAAGUUGACCAACUUCCCAAUCUCAGGAGGAACAGUUCCAGAAAACAUCUUUGUCUCUAGACUCCUGAAAUAAUAUUGUUUUAUCAAAGCAGGCCAAACCGAAUGAAAAUCAAGAUCUGACAAACACAAAAAGGUAAUUUACAUAGAUAAUGGAAGAGCAUAUACAAGAUUCUUAGAGUGGUAAUGUUUCCUAGGAAGGCAGGGAUUGGUCCAGAUAAGUUGUUCACACUGAGGGACCUGCAGUUUACUCAUUGUCUUAGUUCAAUAUAUAGGCCACUCUUAGCUAAACUUGAAUAUGAAGUUAUUAAGAAGUGCAUUUACAUUAAUUCCAACUUUGUAGAAGCCCAUUCACUCGGUAUAUUACCACUGAUGAAGUUCCUUGAGAAAUCGCUGUAGAGAACAGAAAAGAUAUUACUAAUAACAUUAGCAAUCUAGAAAAAUCAAACAUCAAUUAGCAACGUAUUACAUUUCAAAAUCCUUACAUUUGCAUGUGUAAGGUAAGGUAACUUUGCAAUAGAUGGUGGAAGUACACCAGCAAGAUCUUGCCCUUUAAGAAAACUGCAUUAGAAAAAUGUCAGAGCUAACUGAUGAUAAAAUUCAAACUAUGCGUGAAAAUGGAGUCAUGGUGCCUUGCAUAUCAAUAUCAUUCUCAUAAACAAAGGGAUUCUCGUAAACUGGAAAGGAAAGAAGAGAAAGAAAAAGCAGAUAUACCUAAAUACUUACUCAUACACUUGUUGUGCAUAAAAAACCAGCAAGAUAUUAUAUAGGAAGUAAUGGGAAACACACAUAUCAUCAAUAGGCCUCAAAAUUGCACCAACGUAUUAACGUACAUGUUGAUAACAUGGCAUGAGCCAUCAGGGAAGGAGCAGUUGCAAGUGAGUGUGUUGUUAAAUCGAGUGUUAGCAGAUUUUGGGGUAGUCCAGCUUGUGUGGGUUGUGUCAUUCAAGCACGGGUCUACGCUAAAGUUCCAGUCCUCUUUUCUUAAUUGUGUAGCAAUUUCUCGUAGGGCUUGCACUGCAAACACAAAUCCAACCUUCUCAAUCCCACUAUCUAGGGUAACUUCCAAACAUCUAAUUUCUUUUUCCUUUCAAAAUAUGAAAAUAAAAAUAAAAAUAAAAUUAAACGAAUGCCACAAUUUUUUUUUUUUUUUUUUUUUUUAAUGGAAAUUGGAAUUUAGACGGAAGAGACAGCCCAAAAAUAAUGUGAUCCACAAUAACCCAAACUAGCAUACGAGUCCAACGCCAAUUAAGCAACUACCAUGAGAGAGUAAUGGCCCAAGGUUUUCCACCUUGAAAGUUAGAACCAUCAGACCUCAGGCGACUCAAGCCCUAGACUCCUAGAGUCACAAGCAACCUACAAAUUAGGGACUUGCAUUCGAACAUUACCACUCAAACAAGUGUGUUGUCAUCGCUAUCAAGUUAUUUUUGAAAAANNNNNNNNNNNNNNNNNNNNAGGCUGCCUUUAACUCAUUAAGGUGCCUACGUCUGUGGGUUUUUGUUUUACUAAUUGGAUAUAUGUGUACCUUCAGUAGCAGGAAGACGAGUUGAAAGAGCUUCAACUUUGAUUAUGUCGUCUGAUCCAAAGCUGCAGAGUACUACUAGUAUCAGCACCAAGUUGAGGUUCAUGAUGGCGGUUUUCCGAACACUAUUAUCAGCAACAACUCCAACUCUUAACUUCCAUCUUCAUUUUCUUCUUACAUCGACUUAAUCCGACCAACGUAAGUAACCCCUAGCCUGCACUAUAGCAUUGCUAGCUAUAGCUAUAGCUCGUCGGUUUUUAUAGUGAAUCAUGAUCUAUAUCAUCUCCAGCAAGUAGACAUAUAUAAUACGUAUAAAUGAUUAUAUAAAUGAAGCUAGAGACCCGGCCCGUAGCGUAGACGUCCGGGACUUAUGGAUCAAGGUGACUUUCCUAUAUAUAGUCAUCCAUGCAUAUAUAUAUAUAUAUAUGAGUCAAACCUAGAGUCGGAGACUUGGACUGAUUUGGUUUCCAGUUCAGUUCUACUGAGGUGUGCUGGUCGAUCUCGAUCCGUGGAUUAGGAAACAAUUCACAGAGAAAGACCGACACUGGCUACUUGUAAUACGCAGACUUUAAAGGUCCUAGAGGGGUGAAUAGGCCUUUUUUUGAAUUUUCAUUUACUUCUGUAUCUGAGGAUAGCAAUCACUUGUGCUAUCCCAGAUUCACAGGAUACGAGUUUGCAGAAAGUAAAUUGCAACAAAUAAAGAAACAACACAUGAUGUUUUUUUACUCGCAGAAACCCUGAAUGCAGGGAGAAAAACUGCAUGUCUCUAACUCUUGAGAGACAAAACUUUCCACUAUGUUGAAGUAACUUCUUACAAGAAUAAUAGUUCUAGUGAUACACUACCAUAGUGCUAUCCUUCCUAGUCCCGAACUAGUCUAGACUUAUUCCCUCUCUUAUUUCUAAGCUCUUAUAACAUGGAACACUUUCAGAAGUCUUGUUCGUGAAUUCAACUAACCACUAGCUGAUUCAACCUUGAACGCUUCUUGGGUUGGUUGCACUACACAUCCCUCAUGGUAUGCAACAUGAUAUGAGUUUAUGAAAGAAGUUUUGAGUUCAAGCUCUAAGGUUUACAGUCACGAAAAAGACUUAGAGCAGCAUGAACAAUGCAAGCUAAAACUAGACUCAACAAAGAAAAUUCAAUAAGGCAGUUUUCAACAACCAUUGAGCAAAGCCAAAGCUAUAGAUAUAUAUAGGCAGACAAGACAUCAAAGAUGAUGCAAGCUGACCUCAACAAGUUUCAGAAAGGUUUAGACAGAAGUGUUUGGCUCCCAUACUGAAAGUGAUGUGUCCAAAAAAGAGAUGACACAAGCAAUCUCAAUAAGACAAAGAAACCUUUCCUAAAACAUGAACGAUUCAAAGCAAGGAGCAAAGGGGCUUCAAACCCUCUUACUCAGUCCAUCAGUGGACCUUGACACAGCCGAUAGCGACUGGUCUUUGAACCAUACAUGGACCAGCUAUGCAUAGGAUAACGUAUCAUGAAAUCCUAGCUGGAGCCUUGAGCAUCAAACCAUUUGGUCAGGGGUUGGCAUAAACAAAAGAUCUCAACCCUUAGACUGGUUUGAGUGCCAAGGCACUUCCCACAAACUCAGUUGUCCAUUUGAAUUUGAAAGCCUUAUUAAACUAAUAUAACAGACUCUGAAACUCAGGACAGCAAGAGACUCAGUACUAGGAUAGCAAGCGAAGCUGCUAACCUUUGUGAAAAACAAUGAUAUGCAGAUGCAUGUUUUACCUGAAACCAUAAGGGAUGGUAGUGGCACUUGUUCUUGAUCAAAUAAUAGUGUCUUCAAAGUGUUUUGUAGGAUAAAAUGAUUGCCAACUAUCUUUAUACCUUCAGACUUUACACAAAUAGUUAUUACUAAUUCACUUCUUAUUUUCAAUAGAUUUUACGUUAAAAUAUAUACUGUGUUCAGCGUGUCAUUUAGGUACUAGACUAAUAAAAUGUUAAGCUCACGACCAGUAAAUACUAAAACUAAAUUUCGUGUUCAUCAUUAGAACUGAGGAAGACACAUGCAUUCUGAAAAGUAUCUAAAUUGCAAGUCGCAAUAUGUUAUAACUUUAACAUAAGAAAUACUCAUAAAUCAUAUAAAAUUGAAUUACUUUUUUGUUUUCUGAAAAUUGAGAAGAGAGGUGCUUAUCAUGAAAACUGGAAAAAGAAACCUGCAAUGAAAAUUGAGCUGUACAUGCGAGUCAAUCCAGGCAAUCCUCCAUGGAGUAGAAAACAAUUAAGAUAGAAGAGACGACUCUUGAAAGCUUGGUACGUACGUAGGCUAUGCGAGAUUGCAUAGUCAUUACUCAUUAACUCAUUACUAAUUAGGAAAGUAAAUGAGUUGCAAGUGAUGAUUUAUUAAUCACUAAGGUGCUAUUCAUGUCAGAAACGGAGGUAUAUUUAUUUAUUUAUUUUCGAUGAUAAACGACUUAAAUCACGUGUCUAAAUUUAUAUGGGUCUACCGGUCUACCUCGAUCAGGGAACUUUUUUGUUGUGCGUGUGGGAACUUUCCUUCCAUUUGAAUCUUCUUUGUCUGAAUUGCUCUAAGCUUGCAUUCUAUAUUAAUCGCGACUAGCUACUGCAUUUAUAGGGAUAUGAAGACGUAGUGGUACCAGAAGAACCGGUCCAUGGUGCAUCUGAUGAACGCAUGAGGCUAUGACUUCCACUUGGGGAGCUGAUCCAUGGUGCAUUGUGAUCAAACUGGUUUCUCAAGGCUCUUAACUUCGUCAUUUCAUCAGCAUAGAUAUUUGGAUCCAGAACAACGUCAUCCACAACGAUCCGCCCUUCAAGCAUUCUCACUACUGUAGACAUGACAGGCCUAAGUGCAGCUGUUGGAUUGGCGCACAGCAGAGCUACUUUGAUGGUUCUAAUCGCCUCUUUCUUAUUGAAAUUGGACCCCAACCUCGGAUCCAGCAGCUCCAGUAAGUCCCCUUUUGGUUGCAAAACAAGAGCCUAAAAAUAAGCAGAGAAAAUGAGCGCAUGGAUGAUCACAAACCAGUUACAUAUAUAUAUAUAUAUAUAUAUAUAUAUAUAUAUAUAUAUAUAUAAUAGAAUUUUUGAAUGAAGAUUAUUUAUCUUACCCAAUCCAUAAGAUAUUGAAUAUUCUCAUUCGGUCGAUAUUUCAUGUUGUUCUUUCCUGCAACAGUUUCUAAUGCAGCAACUCUAAAACUGUAGACAUCUGCUUUAUAGGUCAAACAACCCCAUAACACAUAUUCCGGUGCCAUGUAUCCUCUGCACAACAAUUAAUUUUUGUUUUCACAGACAAAUUAUCACAGAGUUUUCUCACAAAAAUAGAUAUGAAAUGUAUCAACACUAUAUAAGCAAGAUAUAUAUUACUUGUAAAUCACACAUUAUGGGCUUUCAACAUGCCAGUUCUGCAGUCAAUUUGAGCUACUAAUAAUUUACUAUCACUAACUGACAACUUCAUUGUAUGGAGACAGAUUAGUUAUCAAUUUUUUGUGCAUCUAAGUCUUUUUAGACAGAAUGUUAGCGGAAAUUAGAUUCUCAAGUGAAGAUUAUGGAAAAUAUAUAUACAACAGAAGCUUACAUAGUUCCAGCAAUCCAGGUGCUUAUGUGAGUGUUCUCCUCUUCAUCAAGCUUGGCCAAACCAAAGUCUGAUAUUUUAGCGUUGAGGUCUCGGUCCAGUAACACAUUUGUAGUUUUGAUGUCUAUGUACAACCUUCACUGCCGAUUCCUCAUGCAAAUAAGCCAAACCUUUCGCUAUGCCUAGGCAUAUUUUCUGCCUCGUAGGCCAGUCCAAUUUUAGGGGAUCAUCCUCUGGACCUGCAAUUAACAGUCAUAUAUACAUACCUAAUGUUGAUCGGUAAACUUUAGCCCUACAUCCCCAGCCAAUAAGCAGAUAUAUAUUUGCUGGUGUUGUACAGCAGAUCGAUUAAUACUAGUAAUGCCCAUCACUACAGUCACUGCUCUAAUGAAGCAACUCCAUACAUACAGAAGCUAAAUAGCUAGACUUUUGGAUGACUUUACUUCCGGCCAAGUCUUUCAUAUCUUCAAUUUAACCUGUGCAUGUUUGCAUUAUUGAUCAAAAGUGAAAGGACCCCUUCAGAGCUAAGGGACCCUUUUAGUACUAUUCCAAAUUCAAAUUCAUACAUUAUUAUUGAUCUGCUCCUCUCUCUAGACAUAGAAAUCAAAGAAGAGUUGGAGACUAGUCAACCAGGCAUUCUAAAUGCAGAGGAAAAUGAAGAGGAGCUUCAAUUAGUAGUAGACCAAUUAAUAUACGACCAUCCAGCAUGGUUAAGGGAUAGAUGGCCAGCCAGUUCAAUUAAGGUGAAGCUUCGUCAGUACAGAGUUCUUCGUCUGUACAGAGUUCUCGAGUCAUCAAG
rnacentral:lncRNA from 1 species